rnacentral:rRNA from 1 species
UUCUGGGAGGAUUGACAGAUUGAGAGCCCUUUCUUGAUUCGGUGGAUGGUGGUGCAUGUCCGUUCUUAGUUAGUGGAGCGAUUUGUCUGGUUAAUUCCGAUAACGAACGAGACUCUAGCCUAGGUGCGUGGUUUUCUGCACCUUGCAUCCUUCUUAGAGGGAUAAGCGGCUCCUAGCCGCACGAAACAGAGUAAUAACAGGUAUGUGAUGCCCUUAGAU